GAGAGAAUAUGGGCACAUCUCCCAAGGAAGGGGUCCAUGCUAAGAGUGUGUUUCCUUCUUCCUCAGACUGAUGUCCUCCUUCCCUGAGACCUUCAUUCUCCAUGAGGCUCCAUCAGCCUGGGAGUAGGAUGCCUGCCACUUCUGCUUUGAGUCACUAUCAUGAACCCCAGGAUGACUUCAAAGAAAAGCAGUAAGAACUGCAUUCCCUGAAGACUUCUUGCAUGUCACUCAGAUUUUAUCCCCUAGAGCUUUUACAUUUUGUGUAAUUUGAUCCCCAUCACCCACCACCAAGAUUAGAAAAAGAUGUAACAAUAUUCUAGAAACCCAAGAACCACCUUAUGUGUACCAUGGGACAUGUACAAGCCCCACAUAAAGAUGAGGGGGGAAAUAAUAAUGUUUUUCCAGAUCAGA